CUCUUGGUCAGUGUGGGAAACUGCUGGACCUGAAGUGCAGGAACAUAGCACAGAUAAAGGUGUUCUGGAGCCAAGCACGGGAAUGGGCCAAAAAAAAUCUUAAAAUCAAGCAAAAGCUUUUGCACAUUGGACAUUUUCCAGUACAAUACGUGUGCAAGACAUGUGAAAACAAGCCAAAAGACCUGGCCCCCAGCUUGAGAACCACAGGAGAACAUAGAUGGUGACUGUGUCAUAAAGGAAGUCUAAUAUUAGAUCUGUUGUCAGCUUGGUGGUGCAAAGAAAAAAAAACUUCUUCCCAUGAAACUGAGUUGUGUGGACAACAAUAAAUUUAGAAUAGAAUGAAAUGAGUAUAAUCUGAAAUUACGUUCACACAAUCUACAUUGUAGAAAUGCUGUACAAAACAAGAUAAAUUGAAAUGAGUGUGUAGAAGUCCAUUCAUUCAUUAAUUUUCCUCGGCUAAGUCUGAUUUAUCAGGGGUUUGCCACAGUGGAAUGAACCGCCAACUCCACUGGCAAAUGUUUUACGCAGCAGAUGCCCUUCUAGCCACAACCCAGUACUGGGAAACACCCAUACACACUUAUUGACAGACACACUCAUCCACUAUGGCCAAUACAGCAUGUGUUUGGAUUGGAGCACCCGGAGUAAACCCACACAAACACGGAGAACAUGCAAACUCCACACAGACACGCCAACUGACCCAGCCGGGACUCGAACCAGCGACUUUCUUGCUGUGAGGUGACCGCUGAGCCACAGUGCUGCCCUGC